CCUACGGGAGGCAGCAGUGAGGAAUAUUGGUCAAUGGACGAGAGUCUGAACCAGCCAAGUAGCGUGAAGGAUGACUGCCCUAUGGGUUGUAAACUUCUUUUAUAAAGGAAUAAAGCGAGGCACGUGUGCCUUUUUGCAUGUACUUUAUGAAUAAGGAUCGGCUAACUCCGUGCCAGCAGCCGCGGUAAUACGGAGGAUCCGAGCGUUAUCCGGAUUUAUUGGGUUUAAAGGGAGCGUAGAUGGGUUGUUAAGUCAGUUGUGAAAGUUUGCGGCUCAACCGUAAAAUUGCAAUUGAUACUGGCAGUCUUGAGUACAGUUGAGGUAAGCGGAAUUCGUGGUGUAGCAGUGAAAUGCUUAGAUAUCACGAAGAACCCCGAUUGCGAAGGCAGCUUACUAAACUGUGACUGACAUUGAUGCUCGAAAGUGUGGGUAUCAAACAGGAUUAGAUACCCUUGUAGUC
rnacentral:rRNA from 1 species